AGCACCACGAAACCAAUUAUAUGGAUUGAUUCUAAUAUUCAUGCCCGAGAAUGGAUUUCAUCCGCGGUCGGGCUCUAUUUGAUCGAUCAACUCCUGAAUAGCCCAGAUAUUGAGAUUCAAGCUUAUUUGGACGAUUUUAAUUUUCACAUUUUACCCAUGGCUAACCCGGAUGGAUUCGUUUUCUCUCAUUUAACCGACAGAUUUUGGAGGAAGACGCGAUCAAACACUUCCGCAACGGCAAUAAAUGGAUGCCGUGGCGUAGAUCGGAAUAGAAAUUUCGACGCCUACUGGCUAG